AAAUGGCUACAUAACGCCUUUCUGAUUAUAGUUAGCUGGUCUCAGGCUUUACAUGAUUUCUGCCUGGGUGAAGGUUAAUCUUCUACACCUGAGAAAACUAAUCAUUGAGCCCACUUUUGCUGCACCUUUGCUUGUGUCCCAUUGUAGUGUAUGUGGUUCACACUCAAAGAAUUUGCUUUUCACAGUCCUUGUAAUAUUAUCUAUUGGCCUUCCUGUUAAUUAUCAAAAUCACAGACCUUUUAAGACAAAAAGAGAUUCCUAAUUGACUUUUACCCUAUAAAAAGACAUUUAAUCUUAUAUCUGGCACUAAACCUCUUACCUCCUUUUCUGUCCCCCCCCCCGCUUCUUUUUGCUUUGUUUUCAUUUUUAGAUGUAUAGAUGUUUUCAUUUAUAAUGAUCAAUGUUUUCUCACAUUCCGUAAGGGAGUUCUCUAGUUCUCCCUAGAGCAUCAAGUGUUCCAUCCCAAAGGUUUAUCUCAAACUGAUUAGAGCAUAGGGUAAAGGUUUGGGGAAAACCUGUUAAUCCACCAAAGUAUUAUACUAUCUGGGCAAUAUUUAUAAUAAGUAUGCCAUUUGAAAACUAAUAAUGACUUGUUCCUAAAAGAAACUUUGGGAAUUCAAGUGUUGUCAUUAAAACCAUUAAGGUGAAAACUGUUCACAGCCUGUUUGCCCGCUGAACUCUAUUAAGAGGAUGUUUGACAUUAAGAAAGGUUUCCUCCAUUAUUGGGUAAUAGGAGUUUCAUCCAUUAUACUCUUUAAAUUUUUCUUUUAAGUUUAUUUAUCUUGAGAGAGAGCCUGAGCAGGCUAGGGGGCAGAGAGAGGGGGGAGAGAGAGCAUCCCAAGCAGGCUCCACACUGUCAGCGCAAAGCCUCAUGCAGCCAGGGCUUGAACUCACGAACUGUGAGAUCUUGACCUGAGCGGAAAUCAAGAGUUGGGCGCUUAACUGACUGAGCCCCUCAGGCACCCCCCCCAUCAUCCAUUAUAUAUCCAUAUACUCAUGAAUUUCUUAGUGACUAGAAGAUGGUAGUUGAUCUUAAUGUGAGCUGUUUAUUUCUGCCCAACUGAUUUCAUACCAACUUUUCAAGUUUAGUUAUAUUCAGGGACCCGACAGAUGCUACUUUGUUUCUGCAGCAACAAUGGACGCUAACUUCAGUUAACUUUGUAAAACAUCUGGCACGUUCUACCCCGAUAAAUUUAGUGAUACCAUUACAAAAGCGGACAGUCCAGAAGGCAUUUUGGAAAGCCUGCUACCAGUCAGCAUCAUCCCAGAAAUCUAGAGCUUGAUGAUAAAUGAGAUUGUUGCUUGUCACUUAAAAUUUUUGAAAAGUAGUUCUAUUAUAAAUAAAAUUUGCAUCACAGUAAGAACUUAGCAGAAAAAUAGAAAUAUUUUUAAAUUUAUGUACAGUAGUCAGAAACAUCAUAUAUGAAGUGUUAUGAAAAAGGAUGAAUAUCAAAAAGUUUUAAAAUGUGUUUUCAUUUGUAUAAAAUGUUUAGAAUGCCUAGUGCUCUGCUUUGCAUUCGUUUCUUAAAGUGGAGCUUUGAGAUUGAUCAUUCUCAAGAGCACAUUUAAACUAUGGUGACUGUACCUUUAGGUCAAGACUGUACCUUUACUUCAUUAUAUUUGGACAUUGGAAAAAAAACAGACCUUUAAAACUGUAGUGUGUGACCUUUCUGCUAUCAACCUGGCUUAGAUUCUUUACUGUUUGUACAAUAACAAAACAAGAGGAAAGAGAAAACAUUCAGCUUGAAGAAUCAUGGCAUUUAAUUGUUGUGCCAUUUUCUCCAGUAAUUAAGGAUGUGGGUGCAAAUAGAAUGAUUAAAUUGGGCUCAGGGUGUUUGUAAAUAAAAUGUGGAUUUAGGACCCCUGACCUUUUGUUUAAGUCUGGUUGACUUUUAAGCUCCUUAAGGAGCCUUAAGGCUGGUGUCCUUUAUGUCAGAACCAGAGCUAGUGGGACAAAGGCAGACCGCUCAUUGUCUAUUUCUCUGAACAAAUGUGAAAAGAACAGAAGUAAAUUUAAGUUACUUUUGGUAGCUCUGUUCUUAGCUUGUAGAAAGAAAAAACCCUGAAAGAAAAAAAUUUUUUAUUUAAAUUCCACUGCAAAUACAAAGAAAGACUCCUAUCCUAAAAAGAAAGAUUGUUCUGUAAGGUCAUUUUGAUUCCUUUGUUUAAUCCUCCACUUAACCCAUUCUGUGCACUAUGAAAUAUUUCAUCAGAGUUCCUUCUGAUUGCUUUUUUUCUUUCUCUUCUUUCUCGUAUUAAAGAAAAAUAGCAACCGUG